UCUCCGUUGGUGAACCAGCGGAGGGAUCGUUACCGAAGUUACCUUCAAAACCCACUGUGAACCUUACCUCUUGCCGCGUUGUCUCGGCGGGAGGCGGUGUGCGUCGCGCGCCCUAGCGGGCCGCGCCGCUCCCGUCCCCGCCGGCAGCGCCAAACUCUAAAUGCACAGCGGACUGUACGUUCUGAUUUACAAAAAAAACAAGUUAAAACUUUCAACAACGGAUCUCUUGGUUCUG
rnacentral:misc_RNA from 1 species